rnacentral:misc_RNA from 1 species
AACUUUUAACAACGGAUCUCUUGGCUCUCACAUCAAGGAAGAACGCAGCAAAAUGCGAUACGUAAUGUGAAUUGCAGAAUUCAGUGAAUCAUCAAAUCUUUGAAUGUACCUUGUGCUCCUUGGUAUUCUGAGGAGCAUGCCUGUUUGAGUGUCAUUAAAUUCUCAACUAACUUUUAGCAUUUUAUUUUAAGGUGAAGACGGAGUUGGAGGAUAUUUGCUGGUGCAACUUAGGUUGCUUGUUGGCUCCUCUUGAAUGGAUGAGCUUUUCUGAUGGAUCAUGGCUCAGUAACACUAAUGUGAUAAUUAUCUAUGUUAGAUGUGAAAGCUAUGAGUAGAGUAACUUCAAUUAUGGAGGAGCUCCUAUAGAAAAGGUGUAUCUUAGGGAUGAAACCCUUGACUUUGACAAAUCUGACCUCAAAUCAGGUAGGACUACCCGCUGAACUUAAGCAUAUCAAUAAGCGGAGGC